GAUGAAGAACGCAGCGAAAUGCGAUAAGUAGUGUGAAUUGCAGAAUUCAGUGAAUCAUCGAAUCUUUGAACGCACAUUGCGCCCCUUGGUAUCCCGAGGGGCAUGCCUGUUCGAGCGUCAUUUCACCACUCAAGCCUGGCUUGGUGUUGGGCGACGUCCUCUUUGGGGACGCGCCUCGAAACGCUCGGCGGCGUGGCACCGGCUUUAAGCGUAGCAGAAUCUUUCGCUUUGGAAGUCGGGGCCCCGUCUGCCGGAAGACCUGCUCGCUAGGUUGACCUCGGAUCAGGCAGGGAUACCCGCUGAACUUAAGCAUAUCAAUAAGCGGAGGA
rnacentral:misc_RNA from 1 species